GGUUUCUCGGUCUCGACAACCUUGGCCGUCUGAGGUACAGUGUAGUCCAUCACAAUGUUUUGAGUGACGACGGCCGUUUCUACUUCGGUUUGGCUCUGUCCAGCAGUGAAAUCUUCCAUCGGAGCUUCUUUGAAGGCCAGCUGAACGCCACUGACACUAGUUUCCAUUUUCUCGGGAAUCUCAGCCACUGUUGCUUCAGUAGGGUUUGGAACAUCAAGUGUUUCUUUACAUUCGGGAACCGGAGAACUUGUCAAAGAAUCCGAAAUCAUAGGCGAAGGUUCUUUUUUAAAGGUCUCUCUUUCAUAAAAGGAUUUCUCGAUUUCUUGAGCGCACUUGACUCAAUUGAUAUUGAGCUAGUCGGUUGGGGUGCAUCGGUUGGAUAUUUGAUCGAUUCUGAUGAUUCGCUAACUCUUUUCAAUUUGGGAGUCAAGCGAAUGGUGGCCUGUGACGUCUG